CUGGAAUUACUUUCCCUGCUGAAAUUGCAGGUCCUUAAAUCUUUUGUUAGCCUGAAAAAUCUGAAUUUCGAAGGGAACCCUAUUGCUGACAAUGAGAAAUCAGUGAAAAAGAUCAAAAAACUUUCCCAAACUUGCAUGUGUUCAAUGCGAAACCAACGAACAAAUGCACCAAGAAUGAAUUGGAUUUUUCCGUUGCCGCUGACAAAGAUCCAGAAACUCAAACAGAAGGAAUGAGAGAUCAUGUCAACCGCAAGAACUCUAAAGAUUCGGUCUUGGAUCAAGAUAGUCCAAGUGAUUUUGUUAGAAAGUGAAGGGGAAAAAAGAUGGAACAAGAGACGAUAAUGCAGCCGAAGUUCCUUCUCACAAUUAUGAGAAGAGACAUCACGUCAAGGCUAAGAAAUCGAAACACCAAAAUCCUGAGCUGGAAAGAAAGUCGAAACAGGAAAGUGAAGAACAGAUCGACAAGCUGCAAAAUAGAGAAAGAUGAUGCCAAGGUGAAGAAACUACCAAAAAAAUCAAAGACAAAAGGGAGUGACCUGGAUGUUAUUGAUGACAGUGAGGCUUCAUUCUUGGAGCUUCAUAUUUUUACCCUUUUAUGGUAUAUAUUGCAAUUAAUUUUUUUAUUCAUUUUUUUUGUCAAAUCAAUAAGUAGAUCUAAAUCAUUAUUUAUCAAUAUUAUAAUGCUUUAAAUUGG